rnacentral:rRNA from 1 species
UACGGAGGGGGCUAGCGUUGUUCGGAAUUACUGGGCGUAAAGCGCACGUAGGCGGCGAUCUAAGUCAGAGGUGAAAGCCCGGGGCUCAACCCCGGAAUAGCCUUUGAGACUGGAUUGCUAGAAUCUUGGAGAGGCGGGUGGAAUUCCGAGUGUAGAGGUGAAAUUCGUAGAUAUUCGGAAGAACACCAGUGGCGAAGGCGGCUCACUGGCCCGGUACUGACGCUGAGGCACGAAAGCGUGGGGAGCAAACAGG